rnacentral:lncRNA from 1 species
CUCUCAGUUUUUAUUAGCUAUACAAUUUUGAUCAGCAAUGUUGUGUACUAAAAAAAAGUUGGCCAUGAAUAGAAAAAAAAAGAUCUCAUUUUGAUCCCUUGCAAUCUAUCAACAUUUGCUACAUAUCUAAAUUAUAGAAAUUUCCUACACUUUGGAUUAUAAAGAUUUUAUUUCAUGACUAGUAUAAUUCAUAAGGGCCAUUA